CUAGAGUCAAUCUUGCAUCUGGGGCUCACAGACGAGUAUCUGAUUACUCAAACUAAAAGCCUCGGGAAGGUCUGAGAUAAAGCGUGCUCUGCAUUUAGUGCAGAGAACAUCCCAGCAGGAUGCUUCAAUGAUUGAAGGUGGAAGAACCAGAAAUUUCUGCGAGUGUUAUUCACCCGCAUUGGAAACUUCUAUUGCUCGCCGUUUUAGUGUAAUCUGCAAGCUGGCGGUGCUGACACCAUCGCCAGAACUCAAUUCAGACUAAUCUGUCUCUAG
rnacentral:RNase_P_RNA from 1 species